GGCCAAGGCAGGUUGAUCACUUGAGGUUAGGAGUUCAAGACUAGCCUGGCCAACAUGGGGAAGUGCAGGGCUGUAGGAGCACCAAGGGAGUCCAGGGCAGGUGGAAAAAGGAAUUUAAGGAUGGAAAAGGACAAUUGAGGCCAGAAUAUAGAGAUGAUGAAUGCCAAGUUAAGGCAUCUGGUUUUGUGUCUGAGGGCUUGCAGACUCAGGGACAUGUUUGUGAUCAGAAAGCCCUGAGGGUUUGAAUGCCUUGUCCAA
rnacentral:lncRNA from 10 species